UUUAAAAAUAAAGUUCUAUCCAAACUGUUAUCAAAUAAUUUUAGUUAAAAUAAAAUUAAAAUCGGAAAAAGCUCGAACUGGAAAAUGGGAAAAAGGAUUGUUUAGCGAUUUAUGAUUAUUUGUUGCUAUGCAAAUGCAGAACUCUUCUUUUAUAUUUUGAUCUCCUAGAGAAAUAGUUUUGAUUUGAUGCUUAAUGCAAAUUAUUUAGCCUGCAGCUUUGGCAUAUUGUAUUCUCUGAUUUGUUUGUGAAUUUAUAUGCUAAUUGUAUUUUUUAUCUGGUUUUGUAACCUCUAUGAAUCUGUCCCGUUCUUCCUAAUGUUACAAUUGAAUUUUUUUAUUUCUUUUAUUUUUUGGUGUCCGGAAAUGGAUGCUUCAUACUUCCAUUGAAUAAAACUAGGGGAAAAGGAUCAGUUGAGAUUGAGAAUACUGACGCAGAGCAAGAAGCGUUCUUAAAUUUUUGUUAAAUAAUCGACUCAUUUUUGUGAUUUUCUGAUGGAACUUUUGUUGGAUAAAUUGCGAAUUAAUCUUAGUUGCUUAAUUUUCUGUUGAGUCAAAGAAUUUUUUCUUUGCUGAAUAUAUUUUUUUGAAUUUCAUCUCUUCCCCCACCCCCCACCCCCCUUCCUUUCCCUUCCUUUUCUGCAGAAGUUGAAGUUUCAAGUCUAGAGUAUUCAUAUGCUAUGCCUUUUGAUGGGGUUUUCAAGAAAAGUUCGUUUAGGUUAAUUGACUCAAAUCCACUACUUAAAUGAUACCAGAAACUCUUGGCUCACUUCUGCACCAUUGCUCCAAAUCCAAGGCAUUCCGACAUGGUCUUUCGCUUCAUGCUGCAAUCUUUAAGAUGGGCAUGCAAUCUGAUGUUAUUGUAUCUAACAAACCCCUGCUCAACAUGUAUGCCAAAUGUGGCCACAACAGUAGCACCCGCUGUUUGAUGAAUGAAAGGUUGAGAGAGAAACCUUGUGUCCUGGUCAGCCAUGAUCUCUGGUUAUGACCAGGCAAGAGAGCCAUUAUUAGCAAUUGACCUGUUCUCCCAAAUGCGGCUUGUGCCAAAUGAAUACAUCUUUGCCAGUGCCAUUAGUGCUUGUGCUAGUCUCUCAGCACUAAUACAAGGGCAGCAGAUACACUCCCAGGCCCUGAAGUUUGGCUAUGCAUUCAUUUCAUUUGUUCCAAUUCACAGCUCAAUGUAUAAUGAAAUUGUGGUUAUCUGUAGUGAUCGAUGCCAUGUUGCUCUUUGCCCAAUAUGUCUGAACAAACUUGUGUCUCCUUUAAUGCAAUAAUUUCUGGGGUUUUUGGGAAAAAAAAAACCAGCAAUCAGAAAGAGGGGAUUGAAGUAUUCAAGCUCAUUACCAAAAGGAUUAUUCCUGAUUGUUUACCUUGUUGGAGUGUUGGAGAGUUUGGGGAUUUUCAUGAACAUGAAGGAUUGAUGCGGAGAGAGGAAUGGAAUUGCAUUGCCACUGGUCAAGCUCAAAUUUGACACCACUCCUUUGUUGGCAAUGUGGAUAAUAACAAUGUAUUCAAAAGUUCAAUUGAUAGAAGAGAAGCAGAGAAGAGACAGAGAAAGCUUUCAGAUUUAUCAAAGAGAAAGAUGUUGUUUCAUGGAACACUCUUAUUGCAGCUUGCUCUCAUUGUGUUAAUCAUGCUAAGGGUUUGAGAGUUUUCAAAGAGAUGAUAAAGGAAAUUAGUGUAAGGCCUGAUGACUUCACUUUUGCAAGUGCCCUUGCUGCAUGUGCGGGCCUUGCCUCAAUGUGCUACGGUAGGCAGAUUCAUGCUUAUCUAAUCAGAACAAGGUUGGAUGAGGAUGUAGGUGUUGGUAAUGCACUUGUAAAUAUGUAUGCUAAAUGUGGUUGCAUUGGAAAUGCAUACACCGUGUUUAACCAGAUGGGCUGUCGUAAUGUUGUCUCAUGGAACAGCAUCAUAGCAGGGUAUGGGAAUCAUGGGUUUGGGGAGAAAGCUUCAGAAUUGUUUGAGCAGAUGAAGAAAAUUGGGGUGAAGCCAGAUUCUCGUACUUUUGUUGGACUUCUAUAACAGCCUGCAAUCAUUCAGGACUAGUGGAUAAGGGCCAAUAUUUAUUUCAUUUCUAUGCAAGGGACAUUAUGGGAUUUCCUGAUAUUGAGCAUUUCUCUGCCUCAUUGAUUUAUUGGGACGGGGCUUAGCUGGUAGAUUGUAUGAGGCUGAAGAAUGCUUACAAAAAGUAUCCAUUUGGGGCAUGACCUAGUGUUUUAGGGAGCUUGCUUUCUGAUUGUCGGUUGCAUGGUAAUGUUGUUUCAUGGUGAACCGCUUGGCUAGGAACAGCUUCUGAAGGUUCAGCCUGUGACUAAUUAAACCCUAUGUUUUGCUGUCGAAUUUAUAUGCUUUGGAUGGGAUGUGGCAUGGGUUCUGCUGAGGCAAUGGGGGGGGAAAAAGAUGUUGAAGGGUUCGUGGGUGGGUUGAAGAAGGAUCCUGGUCAGAGUCUCAUUGAAGUGAAGGGCAUUAUAGAGAAGUUCACAAUAUGUGACUUUUCUCACCCAAGAAUUGAAGAGAUAAAGGAUGUACUCAGAACUUCAAGUUGGAUGGAUGAUGAGAGUUGUGCACCAUUAAUUUAAUUCCUCCAAAAAAGGGUUGUUGAAGAAAACAAGGAGAUAAAGAGCCAAGUGUCCAAGUUGAUAAGCUCCUUGAGUGUGAAUGAGCGACAUACUGAUAUGAGAGAGUUGGCACGGUGAGUAGGACUAGAGCUCCAUCCAACAAACACGAAUCCUCAUCUCAGCGAGUACGAAGGUCAAUAAAUCCAGUGAUUGUGAAGUCAUUGAGAGCACUGAACCAAUGGAGAGGGCGCGAAAUGAAGACAUGUUUGAGUUGAUGGGAUAAUGACACACAUAACGCAUGUGAAAUCAGAAAUUCUGCAGUUGAGUAUUGCUUCCAAUUUUGCAAGAAGUUGCGUAUCUAGUGAAGAAGUUGUCUCCAAAAGAUGAGAAUGCUCUCUCCCUGAAAGAUUAUAUUUAGAUGAGCAUUUCUUGCUGGUGGAUUGCACGCGUAAUUAUGCUUUGCAUGUACAUUUCAAAAUCAUAAUUUUUCUUUCCCAUAUUUAUCUGUUAGGAGUGCUUUCUAUCUUUUGAGUCAUCUGCUUGUGGCGGUGUCGCAUCCUUCUUCAGGUUGGGGCCAUAUCAAAGGCAAAGCCCACGAGUGGAGGGACCAGGGAAAGGGUGAUGAGCACAGAAUGAGUUGAUUUAUCGAUCUCAACCCAACCCCACUCCAAAUUUGUAUAUAUAUAUAUAUAUAUGAAGCCGAUCAGAUGUAAAUUGCAGCUGUUGGGUUGGCAGGAAUUGCUUGUGGUUGGGGGGUUGAGCUUAUUGUUUCUUCAAGAAUAAUUUGAGAAAUUUGUUGUUCUCAGUAGGUGAGUGGCUAUCAAUCAAAGGGUUUAAUUGUGUCGAGUAGCUGCAUCCUGUUGGGGUUUGUCUCACAUAGGUUGUUGAAGGGGUUUGGUGAUCAGUUGUUGAGUGUGAGAAAAAGUCUCAUUCUAUGAACUAACUUUUGGAAUUGAGAAGGUCCAAGACCACCCAACACUUCCUCCUGUUGUUUCUUUUCUCUAAGGUUAAUCAAAUGAUCAUUCUUGUAUAAUUUUGGUUAGAAGUAUGGAGUUAUUAAGUGUGAGAUAAAGCUUCAUUCAAUGAGCUAGUUU